UGUUGCAGUCAAUGGAGAUGGCAAAGAAAAUUUUUCCCAAACGUUCAUAGGGAAGAAGACAGCUUAUUGGCUUCAAAAUAAAAAGGAGGACCUACAAAGGAGCUAAGAAAAUAGCCAGCUCUAAUAGUAUCUUCUGAAGCAUCAAAGCUGAGUGAUCAAGGACACAGCACUGGUCAAUAUUGCCAGAGGUUUUAAAGCUCCUUCCUUUUACAUCCUCACUUUAUGGAAUAAUGGCCUGUGUGGUGCUUCAGGCAUUUCUUGAUUAAUACACCUGGAGUUUCCUUCUUUCUUUCCAGCUUGGACAGUAAUUACUUGGUAUGCAGCUCAGCCUGAGGUGAAGACUUUUGUAUGGAAAGAGGUGUGGAAGAGAUGCAGAGGGGCAUGGAGAAGACAGAUGAUGGAUGCAGUGGGAGGCCUGGAGGAAGUCCUGGGGCUGAUGGUGUGAGCAGUAGAGGAAGAGCUACCGAGAUGUAUUAUGAAAGCGUCAGAGUGACAGACAAACUGUCAAAUAAACUCAAAACCCCAAAUGGAAAGAGUUCAGAAAACAGCAUCAAGAAAAUUUCAGGCCUGUCUGUGGCUACAUGCCAACCAUGGGGGUUCAAGUUCAAGUCCUGA
rnacentral:lncRNA from 1 species